rnacentral:rRNA from 1 species
CCUACGGGAGGCAGCAGUGGGGAAUAUUGCGCAAUGGGCGAAAGCCUGACGCAGCGACGCCGCGUGAGGGAUGAAGGUCUUCGGAUCGUAAACCUCUGUCAGCAGGGAAGAACGGUCACUGUGCUAAUCAGCAGUGAAUUGACGGUACCUGCAAAGGAAGCACCGGCUAACUCCGUGCCAGCAGCCGCGGUAAUACGGAGGUGGCGAGCGUUAAUCGGAAUUACUGGGCGUAAAGCGCUCGUAGGCGGUAUGUUAAGUCAAGGGUGAAAGCCCCGGGCUCAACGUGGGAACUGCCUUUGAAACUGGUAAACUAGAGUGUGGGAGAGGAUAGUGGAAUUCCAGGUGUAGGAGUGAAAUCCGUAGAGAUCAGGAGGAACACCAGUGGCGAAGGCGACUAUCUGGCACACAACUGACGCUGAGGAGCGAAAGCGUGGGUAGCAAACAGGAUUAGAUACCCUAGUAGUC